rnacentral:tRNA from 1 species
AGGCGCGUAGCUCAGGGGGAGAGCGCUACCUCGACACGGUAGAAGUCAAGAGUUCAAAUCUCUUCGCGCCUA